AUACUUGGUUAGUGGUGGGUUAUGCUUUCAAAGCUACCCACAUAAAAGCAUAUAAAACGGCAAAACAAAAGUCACUUCCUGGUUUCGUCCGGCCCAAUCAUGUCAUCCGCUUCCGGGUCCGCCUCUCAAGUGACGUAUGCAUGACAAGUUUCGCCCGCCUCCACAGCCUUCCUCUGACACCGUCAUUCCACUCCAGCCCUCUCUCUUAAGCGUCUGUCUCCUCCCCCUCUAUUGUACCAUUGGUCGGGGGGUGUGGUCUAAUCACCCAAGCUAAUCUAGCUCCUUCUUUAUACAGAUGUAGAUUCGAACAUAAAGUUCCACCUACUCUUAUUUACAAAUGUUUAAUCCAACUACCUUACUUAGCUCAAUUAAGGACUGGUGUUUAUCUAGUAAUUGCACACAAUAUCAAGUCAAUCGAAUACAAA